CCUGGCCUUGACAUACUAAGAACUUUCCAGAGAUGGAUUGGUGCCUUCGGGAACUUAGAUACAGGUGCUGCAUGGCUGUCGUCAGCUCGUGUCGUGAGAUGUUCGGGUUAAGUCCCGCAACGAGCGCAACCCUUUUCCUUAUUUGCCAGCGGGUUAAGCCGGGAACUUUAAGGAUACUGCCAGUGACAAACUGGAGGAAGGCGGGGACGACGUCAAGUCAUCAUGGCCCUUACGGCCAGGGCUACACACGUGCUACAAUGGUCGGUACAAAGGGUUGCUACCUCGCGAGAGGAUGCUAAUCUCAAAAAGCCGAUCGUAGUCCGGAUCGCAGUCUGCAACUCGACUGCGUGAAGUCGGAAUCGCUAGUAAUCGCGGAUCAGAAUGCCGCGGUGAAUACGUUCCCGGGCCUUGUACACACCGCCCGUCACACCAUGGGAGUUUGUUGCACCAGAAGUAGGUAGUCUAACCGCAAAGGAGGACGCUUACCACGGUGUGGCCGAUGACUGGGGUGAAGUCGUAACAAGGUAAGCGUAGAUGA
rnacentral:rRNA from 1 species